CGGUGCCGCACGCUCUCGGGCGAGGUGAUCAGCCCGCCGCUGGGCGACCUCGGCACAGCACCCAUGCGGGGCUGGCUCGUGCCGGAGCCGCGUUCGGGGAGCGCUCCUUCCCGCGGGGCCGCCACGACCUGCUGCCUGGGCUGGGCCAGCAGCCGCAGGGCCCCGGGUGCUGCCGCCACUGCUGGAGCGCCGUGUCGCUGCCCGUCUUCGGGGCGGCCCCCGGCGGCCCCCUGCCCUGCUCCGAGUCCCUGCCGGGCUUCGACCUGGACCUGGCGCCUCCAUCCUCGACGACAGGCUGCACAUCAUGGAUGGCUACGAGCUGCCCGCUGCUGAGGCCCCGUGGAGCCACCAUAGGGAGCACACGUGGCUCCAGCCGGGGGACCUCAGGGAACAUUUGGGGAGGCUCGGGGCGGCCCCCUGCCACGGCCAGUGGAGGUUGGGGUGUGCAAGCACGCGCCUCUGUCCCUGUGCAUGCACCCGCACAUGUGUGCAUUCAUGCACACACACACGCGUGCACCCACUGACACGUGCAGCAUCCACGCAGGGGCACAGCGACGCUGCCCAGCUGCGGCUCUUGCCACGUGGCUCCGGCCGCCCCACGGAUUUCUGCCGCGUGGUGGGGACCUGGGACCCUUUGCUAUCAGGGCGUUUGGGCUCUUCAAAGGGGAGCGGGCUGAGCCCCUGGGCACCCCGCUGCUCCUGGCCCUGCGCAGACCCCCACGGCCCUGUGAGCGCCUCCCCAUGGGKUGCAGGGGCCCUGCUCGGGCUCAGCCCCAUCCCCAGGGUGGCCGCGCAGUGCCAUGAGCCGCUCGUCCCCCCCUCCAGUAUCGCCUCCCACACCGUGGGAACGUGGGYGGGAUGGGGGCGGGUGGCACUUCCUGGCCAGAUGUUCCCAACAUCUGGAUUCCUCUAUAAACAGUCACGAGGGGGCGGGCCAGGCUGUGGCCAUCCAUCAAGGGCUGAGACCGGGGCAACUCGGGGCCGCGGUGGCUGGCCCGGCCUCGCACGCAAGGAGGCUGAGCAGCGCCUGGUGCGGGCUGGCACCGCCACACAA
rnacentral:lncRNA from 1 species